UCUAUGCUAUUGUGUUUGAAGCUACGCUCUUUUAUUCUGAUAUUUUCAGAAGGCUUUGGAAGGCUGUGGAAGUCCUGCAAAUAUCAACUCCCCCGUCCCCCCCUUGUCCUUUGUUUUCAAUUUACUUGACUGCAGAUCUUUAACACAAACACUUUUUUUUUUUCUUUUUUUAACUGCAUUUUCUCUUUUCCCUUCAGGUAUUUGUGUGGUUUGUGUGGGGGUAACAUGAAAAAUCAAAGAACAGAAAAAUAGAACUAGACUGAUAGAACAGGGAGCUCAGUAUCCUUCCACUUGAGUUCUUCUGGGUAAAAGCACUCUAACAUGUGGAAGACUCAACUCUAAUUCACCCUUCUGCUUCUCAGCCUCCGAUUACAAGGUAUUAUAGAAAAAGCACUUUUGAUCUCUUCUGUGACAAUGUUAUGCUUCACGUGAGAAAAACAACACUGGAGAAAUGACUGGCAGUGGAACCUACAGUCCUGAGGAAUUGCUCUGUCUUCCAGGAAUACUUGGCAUUUUUGCAGAUAGGGACAGAUUCAACUGAUUCAACAGAUUCAAUCAUGUCACACAGGAAUGUGUCAGGCAGGGUUUGUAUAUCUACAGAGAAGGAGACUCCAAAACUGUCCUGGGCAGCCUGUUCCAGUGUUCUGUUACCCUCACCAUGAAAAAGUUUCACCUCAUAUUUAAGCAGAACCUUCUAUAUCCCAGCUUGCACCUUUGCCCCUUGUCCUAUCAUUAGAUGUCACUGAGAAGAGAGCUCAGCCACCAUGGUGAGCAGACCUUCCACCUGAGAACAGGAGGUCUCCCAGCUGCCCUCCUCCCCUGGCAGCAGCAGGCUCAGGCACUCCCUGCAGCCAGAGGCCUGAACAGCCAUAUCUCUAUCUAUACUAUGGAACAAUAUGGAUGACAGAAUGUAAUUUAUUAAGCAGUUACUGCACUAAAUAAUUUAACAAAUUAAUUUAAAAGAAGAGUGUUCUUCAUGACAAUGUGCUUAUUUAUUUAUUUGGUUUACUGGAAGUAUUCUGGUGUGGUGAAAGAAAGGAAGCUCUGAAACUACAUGCAAUCCUUGUUUGGCAAUGUACAUCCUGAGUUUCACAGAGUGGAUAAUUUUCGUCCCAUGCUUGCAGUGUAAGAACAAUAUGUUGUGUUUAAGUAUUUAGAUUUUUCACAUAAGAGCAAAAGAGGUAACAGCAAAUGGAUUGUAACAUAAAUGUUCCUGUUUCAUCCAUGAUAUGAAAACUAUGCACAGCUUGCUGGUGGAGUGACACAACAGAAGUGAGAGUAAAAUACUUUUUCCCUGACUGUAACCUUGAAUUACAUUCCUAGAUGGUAAGAGGUAAACCAAACUUCCUUGUGAGGAAAGUGAGAGCAGUCCUGUUUUUCCCCCUUCUGCUGGUGGUGGGUGGGGGCUUCAGGGGCAGCUGUGUGAGGGAAGAUGGGGGCUAGUUCCAAUUGGUUCCUGCCAGCUCCAGAGUCCCCACUGCAGGGCACAGCUGAGCCUAUUACACUGAGGGGAAGCGUAUUUAAGAAGAGAGAAAAAAAAAAAAAAAAAAGGCAAGAGAAACAACUCAGUGAGCACCGAAGUUAGACAAGAAGGAGCAGCCUGUGAAGGAGACUGCAGCAAGGCAGGUAUUGCAUGGUCCCCUGCAGCCUGUGGACCAUGCUGGAGCACACAUGCACUCAGCAGCCUAUGCUAUGAUCCACACUGGAAGCAGGAGAAAAGUGUGGGGAGGAAGGAGGAAAAAGAGAGGAGCUACUGCGGAUUGACCAUAAACCCCCCUUCUGCAUCUGGCUGUUCUGCUUGGAGAGGAGGAGGUAGAGGAGACAGAAAUGGAGGAGUGAAAUUGAGCCUUGGUGGUUGAGUUGUUCUGCCUGUGACGGUAACUGGUAAAUUUUCACCUGGUCUUUAUAUCAACCUGGUACUUUGGUUCCAAGUUGAAGAAGCAAAAUUUUUAUAACUGAUCUUGAUUUCUUUCCCUUGAUGCGAUGAAUUGGCUGAAGUGUUUUCCAAGGGAAAAUCAGGACUUUGUACACUGUUUUAAAGGAAAUAGAACUACUUCACAGAUGUCUGAUACCAUCAACAGUUUCUCCUUGGUAACAGAAACAACCAGUUUGCCUCUAAAUUUUGGCUAAGAGCCCAGGUAAAGAGUUUAUUCACUGCUGGAGGGGGAAAAGGAAUCUAACAGAGACAAAAAAGAAAGAAACAAAUAUUCACACAGCUGAUGAUAUUUCAUCUAAAUGUGACUGGAAACAAAGGACAAAACCUUUGGUUCAUAAUACGCAGAUUGAUCAAAAUCUAUUGAAGUUGAAAGCAGUAGACUAUACAGAGAUAUAAACAAUAUUUUCUUACAGUUUAUUUGGAAUUGCAUUUUGUAAGCAGAAAAAGCAGUGUAAAAGGAAGCAGGGCAGUCAGGCAGAACAAGCACCCUGGAAUUUUCAAAUAGUAAUAAAAAAUGACUAGAAUUGCUAUUUACAGAAAUAAAAGCCUCUGUUUUCAAAAUAACUUUUUUUCCUCAGCCAUAGAUAUUUGAACAGUUUAAUAAAUGUGGUAUUCAAGUGGCAGAUACAUGCCAUUUCAUCUUGACUAUAUUAAGGCUCAGUUUGUACAUUUAUCAAGAUGUUAUCUGUCUGGCAAAAUGGAUCUUCAACUAUUGACUAUAGAAAGCUAUAAAAAAUAAUAUUAAAUUGGCUUAUUAGCUAAUGCCCCCGGUUAACAAAAGCAUGACAGAAAUAACAGCUUCCUUAGUCACUGUUGCUACAACUGGGUAGUUAAAGCAGGAAGUGGUGAUAUUGCAGCUUCUGUACAAACACACCAAAAGGAGCGUGGAAAUGCUCACAGUGACUACUAAAUAAUUACAGUGUGGCUCUGCUUUUACUGCACAUCAGCUGCUGGCAUGUUUUUGUACAGCUGCGUGUCAGCUUUCACUCUUAAAUGUAUACACAUAAGUGAAAAAAGUUUUCACACUUACAAACAGAAAGUUUGUUUCUAUUUUUUCCAAAUGUGAUCCUUCACUGGGUUUAACGGGAAUUUUUCAUUAAAUCCACAGGAAACACAUUACCAUCCCUUCUCCAUCAAGCUUAGCUCUUCCCAGUUCUUGUUACUUGAUGGAGUGUUGUCAGUGCGACUGACAUUAUAGAAACACUCUUCCUAUCUUUGCAACUUAACUUAGAGUUAUUGAAUGCUUAAUUCCAUUUAAUGGUAAUGGCAGUUACUCCAUCUAAUGCUGAUUAUAAUGCUUUCAAGUAUAACUCUCUUUACAAUUACUAAUGACUAAUUUAGGUUAAUCAACCUCUAAUAUUUCCUGUUGUGCUUGAUGUUUCUAGCAUGCUUUUUGAGUGGAGGAAAAGGAAAAACAAUGCUUGGAGUUCCUGCAUAAAAAUGUUGUAGUAAUGUCAUUAUGCUGGAUUAUAUGGUGCUGAGGAGAAAAAUGGCUACGUUAGGUUUAGUUAUGGCAAUGAAUUUGGCUUGUAAGUUUUUUUGUCAUUUUGUUAAAACAAUCCAAAGGAAAUAAAAUGUUGUUCAUGUAAUUAAUUCAGUAUAGGAUUCUUCUGGAUCUCCUCUUUUGAGGCUGGUCAUAGAUAAGCUGGGACUGGGCUGAAUAUAUAGGAUGGGUUCUGGAAGAAAGGGAGCAAUACUGGAAGUAGCACCUGUGGUGUGGUUAAGAUGGCUGAAUAAGAACUUAAAGAGCAAAGGUGCCCUACCCCAUCUCUUAUGAGGCAAGAAGGGACAGCAGUAUGACAUUCAAAAGUAAUAUGAAGAUUAAAAAAAUGGUAUCAGGAUGUCAGUGUAAAUACUGAUACUUAGAAUAGUGAUUAGCAUUGAGAGAAGUAGAGAUGUGAUUAAUAUCAGAACUUUAGAUACAGGAAAAGUAAGUUGGAAUCUGCAUGAAAAAAUACAACCAAUUCAAUUGUCACCAGAACUGAUGUAAAUAGAAGUGAGGUAGUUGAGGAAAUGUCAAAUUAAAAAUAACAUAAACGAAGAAGCUGAGAGCACGUAGUGUAGCAGAUAGUAGUGCAUCACUGUUUAAAAUAUUAAGUAUGCAUGGCAUAUUUAAUAUUAAGUAAAAAUACACUAUUUUAUUCUAGUCCCUUUUUGCAUUCUGUAGUUUGUAAGUGAGAAAUUGUGGAGGACACCAUUGCUGAAUUGCUGUACCUGGUUGAAGCAUACACAUUUUCAUGCCUGCAGAAACAUUGUUAGUACUUAAAUGCCACUAUGUAAAGUAUUUGGCUGUCAAUUUUAGAAGUAAAUAAAUAUGUUAAUAUCUGAACUUAACUCUCUCUGCAUUUUGUAGUGGAUCUGCUCGAGAAAAACAAGGCUCUGCUACCUGUACUUUGUUCUGAAGGAGUGCUUGACGCCUCCUAUGAAAAGAAGUCAAAAUAAGGUCUGAAGCCUUUGCAUCAUAACCUUGUUGACAUUAUGAAGUUGAUUUAAAUGUUUAGCAUUCAUCACAAAAAGAUUUUUUUAAGGGUUGAGGAAAAAAGGCUAGGUCUCUUGCAGUUCAGGAGCAGAACUCUACAACUCAAUUUCAUGAGGAUGCUGUAAGUCACUGUUAACACAGUUGAACUUUCUAUAAUUAGCUGUUAUCUCUUUGCUAGAGGGAGAAAAUAAUCAGUUUUAUGUAUUAGAUGAUAUUUUGAGGAGUUUUUCUGCUUAGGUAUAUAGCAUAUUACAUUUUUUCCCUUGAUUCUCUUGAUAUAUUUGUCCAAGGCAUCUGAUAACCAGUGUCUUUUUUUUUUUUUUUUUAAAAAUUUUUAAAGUAAGUGAAGUCAUUCAGAAUGACUAACAUUCUAAAUUCUCUUCUGAGUUUAGUCUAAAGUAGAAGGUCUACACAUUGUGGAAUUUGAAUGUGAGUUUUGUUCUGAAACAAUUUUAACGCACCGUUAAAGAUAUUUGUCAUACUGUAUUUUAAGUUAAGCAGUGGGAGGACUUAUUUUUUAAAAUCUUUGGAUAACUUACUUUUUUUUGGUCACUUUUUAUGGAAAUUGAGGCAAGUUCAGAAAUUAAAAGAUUGGGGUAUUAAACAGUUUUCCAGACUGGAUCAAUCGUUGCUUACUAUGAAAUACUCCAAAAUAUGCUUUCCGAAGUUUAAAGUUAAGAUUCUUUAAUUAAAACAGAGUUUACUUUUCCCUGUUUUUGCCUUUUUCUGAAUACCUUUAAAAAACAUUUGUUGACUUCAGAAAUCAUAUUUCUAACAUACCAAUAUUUUAUAUGACAGUUGUAGUUCCUUGUGCUGAAAUAUAGAUUAUACUAACCAAUUACUAUUAAUCUUUGUUCUAUUUCUCAUCUAAUCUAAUACUCGUAAAAUGUAACAUGUAUAAACUAAUAUAGGCUCUACCUAAAAGAAUAUGCAAAUGGAUUUUUUCUCACCUGAAUUUAAUUACCUGUGUGGGCACUUAUAGGAAAUUUAAAGAGUAUGACUAGUGUGAUCUGUUAAGAUGUCUGCUUUACUGUGAAGUAGGCCACAGCUCACCUUAGUGUUAAUUCUUCCUAUUUAGUCUGAAGGUAGUUUCAAGGACUAACUUUAAAAUUGGUAUUUUCUAUUUCUGAUGUUGAAGGAGAGGUUAAUAAUACCUUUAAAGUCUGAGAGCAUAUUUGACAUGAGUACUUUUGCUAAAAGUCAGAGUAUGCUCUUGAAUGUUUAAAUCACAAAAUAAAGCUUUUCCAAUUGCCUUCCAUAGCUGUAACCCCUAAAAAGGUAUAAAUUCAGACAACUUUAAAUCUAUUCUGACAAAAAAAGGAAAAGGUUUUAGGGUCUUGCAAGUUUUUGUAGGUAUUGUUAGGUAUUGAAGACUGGAGGAUAGCCAAUGUCACUCUGGUCUUCAAGAAGGGCAGGAAGGAGGAUCAUGGAAAGUACAGGCCAGUCAGUCUCACCUCUGUCCCUGGAAUGGACCUGAUGAUCUUCCGAGGUCCCUUCCAACCCCUACGAUUCUGUGAUUGUUAACUUGGUAGAGAAGAGAGUUCCAGUUAGUUCCCCUCAUUAAUGAAAAGGCAAGAAAACAAUCCGCCAUUGGGGGUGGGGGAGGUGCUUGAGCAGUAUCUAGGUACCAAGUUAGGUUACAUAUAUCAGUAGACUAGCCAUAACAUGUUUCUUCCUGACCAUAAUGUGGGUGGCUAUAAGAGAAGAUAAAGCUGUUACUGCAGGAAGUCUGGAUAUAGGGAAGAAUAAAGGACACUCAUUCUUAGGAAACUUUUUUUUAACUCCACUAUUCACAGAAAACUUACUUCUUAUAUAAGAAGAAAAGCCCCAAGUGUAGUUAAUGUAAUUAAAUGAGAACUGCUUUUUCUGAUGCAUCCUAUUUUCUUUUGGAUAAUUAAUAUGAACUUCACAGUCAGUAGAAUCCUUUGCUGAUAUGGGUCUGGCCUAGAUGGGGAAUUCUUUGCUGAUAUAUCUGUUUCUUGGAAUUAUUUUCUUGGAUAAGGUGGAUAAUGUGAGAUAGUGUUUUAGUAGGCUAGGCCAUCAGUUUUACAUUUGAAAGGCUUUGUUAGAAGAAAAAGUAAAUGUUAAUAAUGAAAAUUUCAGUACUACAGCUUCAUACACUGACAGUAGAAAAUUUCAAGAUGGUAGGCUGUGUGUGUGUGUCCACAUAGAUAUACAUAUGUACAUAUAAAUAUACAAAUGUGUGUAUACAAGGUUUUUGGGUUUUGUUUUUAAUCAUUUUGGCUGCUCUCCUGGUUUUUCAUAAUAAAUGAUGCCUUUAUCUCCAUUUAGGUACAGAUUUUCUGGCAAGGUGGUAUCCACCAGGAAGCACAUUUAUUCACUUGUGGCUAAACAGUGGCAUUCAUUUCAUUGUAAUGAUAUCAGGUACAUGUAAGUCCUCAUUUCAGUUCUACAUAUUUGUAGAAUCUUUUAUGCAUUACUGAUUUGAGAUUAAAAAUAAAUGCUUAGAUAUAGCAGAUUUCCUUUGCCAUGCCAGUUUGCAGUAUUAAGGUUAUUUUGGAAUCCUUAAUUGCCCCUGGAAUGUUUAACUUUUCUUUUGCUAUACAAUCAUAACUAUAAUUUUUUUGAAACACUUUAGUUAUCUUCUUCUCUUGGUUGCAUUUUUUUUAAUUAUGCCUGGGUUUGCUUUAAAAAAUGCAUGUAGUCCUUCUGUCUCCUCACUGUCUUUAACACUUUCCUGGAAUGCAAUCUCUGACUUUUAGAAGAGGAUAUUGAAUCAUGCUUACAAAAUGCAACUGUGCAAAAAAUACCCUGGUGUAGCACAUCUCCUUCCUUGCACCGUGACUGUAUGCUGUCAAAUCUCAUAUCAAACAGUCAUCCAGCAUGUAUGCUUUUACUGAACCUCGUUAUUGUUGUAUGUUUCUUCAGUAAGACAAAGAGACAUUCUGCUACUCUCAAGUGCUAAACAGUGUUUGGUGGGCCAUUUUAUUGAUCCAUACAGCAGCAAAAUGUACUGUAAAAGUGGAACACAGAAGAUGGCUCUUAUCUAUAGUAUGAACAUGUGCAAUAAAAUUCAUUACUGUGAA